rnacentral:tRNA from 1 species
GUCAUGGUGGCCGAGUGGUUAAGGCGUUGGACUUGAAAUCUAAUGGGGUCUCCCCGCACAGGUUCAAAUCCUGUGCAUGACG